AUGUGGGAUUGCAGAGGGACACUGGAUGGCGGGAGUCAGACGCGAACCCACAGCACAGGGACCCGCCCCCUCCACCUCGAGCAGGACCAGAGCGUCAUUGGGGCUCAGGGUCUGGGGCCCAGGGGUCCUGUCUGGAGGCCGGGGUGGGGGCUGGCCUCGGGUUCCAGGACCGCAAGGGGGUGGGGGAGGCCCGGCCAGGCUGGGAGGGGGCGGAACCUUGCUGCGCUCCCCUCCCCCUCUUUCUUAAAGGGCCCGACGCAGGACCGGUUGGGACCGGGUUGCCGCGCCCUCCCGGGCCGGGGCAGGACAGGCGGUAGAGCGCUCUGGGGCCGUGCCUCUCCACAGCCGCGGCUCCGACACCUGAAGGGACAGGAGCGGGCGCGGGCAGCUCAGGCGGGCAGCGGCGGAGCGGGACGGGCAGUCUGGCGGCGGCCUCCGCAUGGCCCCACCGUGAGAGGCUGGACCCGGCAGCUGGGACCAGUAGCGGUGAGUGGGGCUGCGGGGCCACCUUGUCCCUGGGGCCCCGCGUGCUCCGGGACCCCGCCCCUCCCAUCUUCAAACAACCAGUCUGGGAGGGGGCCGGGGUUAGGGGAGCGGUGGUCCUGUGGGGGGGGGGGAACGCCUGCCGAGGUUGGGGGGGGACACGGCGCCGCCCUCCGCCCUCGGUGUCCGCUGGGGUCUUUAACAAAGCUGCAUUUCGAGAUCAAUUCCGCGUUGGCUGGAGCAUCCGAAGGAUGCGGUUGUCAUGGAGAUGGGGCCGAGCGAGGAAGCCCGCGAUGGCCGGGUCUGGGCCAGGGAGUGAGGGCGCCGCUGAGAGCCCAGCCCAGCCUGCAGGGAGGGUCGGGACCGGCCAGCCCAGUGUCUCCUGGGCUCUGCCUUCUGGCCCCUGCUGCCUUUGUACCAUCUGAGGGUAAGUGUGUGUAUGGAUGGGGUGCCAGUGGCGCCUUGGUGGCCAGGGAUCAGCCAGGGAUCAGGGUGUUGGGGCCUGCCAGCGGCCACCGUCGCUACGGAGCAGCUUUGAGGAUUUAUUUCUGUUUCCAGUUUCCCAACUUUGACAGCCUGGCUUGGUGGCCAGGCCUCCCCGGCUCUGCCUGGAGCAGGGGCUGGCACGGGGGCGUGGCAGGCAGCGGGCAAGGCUGA
rnacentral:lncRNA from 1 species